AUACCCAACAUAUAAUUCUAGGUGAAAUAUGAAUUAACCACAAAGUUUAUAUCAUUCACGUAAGGCAUAAUUGUCCAUACAAAAUGCCACCCAAAUUUCUGUUCUUUGGUACCAUCUGAGCCAGUUAUCCUCCGGAAAGAAUAGAAACUCUGCUAACAAGGGGUAAUCUUUGGCUACAUAAAAUAUAUCCUGCUUUGCAUCUAUUAAAACUGACAGAAAAUUUCUAGUAAUUUCACUUCACUAACAUAUUUCAAUAAUAAUUCCAUGAACAAAUAUCAUAAUAAAUUAAAAAUCAAAGCUUUUAGCUAUGAUGUUUAUAAGUUUAG
rnacentral:misc_RNA from 1 species